rnacentral:rRNA from 1 species
GGUUUUAGUUAAUGGUUAAUCUUAUAAUUUAAUAUAAAUAAUAAAAGGUAAAAUUAGAAUAUUAUUUUGUAAAUACAAAGAUUAGAAUUGAAGCUAAAAAAGUUUAGUAAUAAACUAGGAUUAGAUACCCUAUUAUUCUAAAAUAAACUUACCUAAACUAAAUUAGUAAGAGAUAAAUACUUAAAAUUUAAAAAAUUUGGCGGCAAUUUAAUCUUUUCAGAGGAACCUGUUUUAGAAUCGAUAAACCACGAAAAAUCUUACUUGUUCUAGUAAAAUUCAGUUUGUAUACCAUCAUUGUUAGAUAAUUCUUAAAGGAAAAAUUAUUAAAUUUAAUUAUUUAUUAAAAUUAGAUCAUGGUGCAGCCUAUGGGCAAGGUAAAAUGGGUUACAAUAAAUUAUUUUAUGGCGGAUUAAUAAUAUAAAACUAUUAUAAAGAAGGAUUUGAUUGUAUUAUUAUUUUAAUAAGUUAAUGAGACAUAAGUUCUAAAUUGUGUACAUAUCGCCCGUCGCUUUCAUUUAUAAGU